rnacentral:rRNA from 1 species
AUUGAACGCUGGCGGCAAGCCUAACACAUGCACGUCGCGCGAGCGGCGGACGGGUGAGUAAUGUAUGGGGACUGCCCGAUAGAGGGGGAUAACUACUGGAAACGGUGGCUAAUACCGCAUACUAUCGGAUAACCCAUAUGGGAUUAGCUAGUAGGUGGGGUAAAGGCUCACCUAGGCGACGAUCGCUAGCUGGUCUGAGAGGAUGAUCAGCCACACUGGGAUUGAGACAAGGACCAGAAUCCGACGGAGGCAGCAGUGGGGAAUAUUGCACAAUGGGAGCAAGCCUGAUGCGGCCAUGCCGCGGGUAUGAAGAAGGCCUUAGGGUUGUAAAGUACGUGCAGCGGGGAGGCGUUACCCGCAGAAGAAGCACCGGCUAACUCCGUGCCAGCAGCCGCGGUAAUAC